CACGUAGGGGGCGAGCGUUGUCCGGAUUUAGUGGGCGUAAAGAGCUCGUAGGCGGCUCAGUAAGUCAGGUGUGAAAACUCCAGGCUCAACCUGGAGACGCCACCUGAUACUGCUGUGGCUAGAGUCCGGUAGGGGAGCAUGGAAUUCCUGGUGUAGCGGUGAAAUGCGCAGAUAUCAGGAGGAACACCAGUGGCGAAGGCGGUGCUCUGGGCCGGAACUGACGCUGAGGAGCGAAAGCGUGGGGAGCAAACAGG
rnacentral:rRNA from 1 species